GACGAACGCUGGCGGCGUGCUUAACACAUGCAAGUCGAACGGAAAGGCCCUGCUUUUGUGGGGUGCUCGAGUGGCGAACGGGUGAGUAACACGUGAGUAACCUGCCCUUGACUUUGGGACAACUUCAGGAAACUGGGGCUAAUACCGGAUAGGAGCUCCUGCUGCAUGGUGGGGGUUGGAAAGUUUCGGCGGUGGGGGAUGGACUCGCGGCUUAUCAGCUUGUUGGUGGGGUAGUGGCUUACCAAGGCUUUGACGGGUAGCCGGCCUGAGAGGGUGACCGGCCACAUUGGGCCUGAGAUCCGGCCCAGACUCCUACGGGAGGCAGCAGUGGGGAAUAUUGCACAAUGGGCGGAAGCCUGAUGCAGCAACGCCGCGUGCGGGAUGACGGCCUUCGGGUUGUAAACCGCUUUCGCCUGUGACGAAGCGUGAGUGACGGUAAUGGGUAAAGAAGCACCGGCUAACUACGUG
rnacentral:rRNA from 1 species